rnacentral:rRNA from 1 species
UACAGAGGGUGCGAGCGUUGUCCGGAAUCACUGGGCGUAAAGGGCGCGUAGGUGGUGGCUUAAGCGUGCGGUGAAAGCUCGGGGCUCAACUCCGAGUCGGCCGUGCGAACUGGGCUCACUGGAGCAUAGUAGAGGCAGGUGGAAUUCCGGGUGUAGCGGUGGAAUGCGUAGAGAUCCGGAAGAACACCGGUGGCGAAGGCGGCCUGC